rnacentral:misc_RNA from 1 species
GAUGAAGAACGCAGCGAAAUGCGAUAAGUAAUGUGAAUUGCAGAAUUCAGUGAAUCAUCGAAUCUUUGAACGCAUCUUGCGCUCCUUGGUAUUCUGAGGAGCAUGCCUGUUUGAGUGUCAUUAAAUUCUCAACUACACUGACUUUGAAUUGGUGUGGCUUGGAUUUGGGGGGAAAAUUGUUGUGGGCUUUUUGUAUAGUCUGCUCCCCUGAAAUUGAUUAGCGGUACCUUUGUGGAACUGUCUACAGGUGUGAUAAUUAUCUACAUCUUAGACAUCUGCUUGAAUGCUGCUUUCUAAACCUUACUUGUAUUGACAAUCUUGACCUCAAAUCAGGUAGGACUACCCGCUGAACUUAAGCAUAUCAAUAAGCGGAGGA